rnacentral:rRNA from 1 species
UACGUAGGGUGCGAGCGUUAAUCGGAAUUACUGGGCGUAAAGCGUGCGCAGGCGGUGAUGUAAGACCGAUGUGAAAUCCCCGGGCUUAACCUGGGAACUGCAUUGGUGACUGCAUCGCUCGAGUAUGGCAGAGGGGGGUAGAAUUCCACGUGUAGCAGUGAAAUGCGUAGAGAUGUGGAGGAAUACCGAUGGCGAAGGCAGCCCCCUGGGUCAAGAUUGACGCUCAUGCACGAAAGCGUGGGGAGCAAACAGG